CCUACGGGAGGCAGCAGUGAGGAAUAUUGGUCAAUGGGCGCGAGCCUGAACCAGCCAAGUCGCGUGAGGGAAGACGGUCCUAUGGAUUGUAAACCUCUUUUGUCGGGGAGCAAAAGACGCCACGCGUGGCGUUCCGAGAGUACCCGAAGAAAAAGCAUCGGCUAACUGCGUGCCAGCAGCCGCGGUAAUACGGAGGAUGCGAGCGUUAUCCGGUUUUAUUGGGUUUAAAGGGUGCGCAGGCGGAAGAUCAAGGCAGCGGUAAAAUUGAGAGGCUCAACCUCUUCGAGCCGUUGAAACUGGUUUUCGUGAGUGAGUGAGAAGUAUGCGGAAUGCGUGGUGUAGCGGUGAAAUGCAUAGAUAUCACGCAGAACUCCGAUUGCGAAGGCAGCAUACCGGCGCUCAACUGACGCUCAUGCACGAAAGUGUGGGUAUCGAACAGGAUUAGAUACCCUGGUAGUC
rnacentral:rRNA from 1 species